rnacentral:tRNA from 1 species
UCCCGGGAUAGCUCAGCUGGCAGAGCACCAGACUCUUUUUCUGCAGGUCCCGUGUUCAAUCCACGGUCCUGGAA